CUGGCAGCCAGAGUGAGGGGGGUCGCAAACCCCCUCCCUGGCUUGGCAAAGCUCCCUCCCGAAGACAUCUGAAGUGGUGGUCUAAAAUGGCCACCCUGAAGGGGAAGAGUAAGCUGGAAUAAGAUUGCACAGGAGAGAGAAAGGAGUGGACAGCAGGAGA